UCUACACUUAUCCAUGGUUCUACAAAUGUAUGCAAAACUUUCUUAAGGUACCAUGGUAUUGGUAAUUUAUUUCACAAGAUAUAUAUGCUUUUCAUGUCUACAUGAAAAGCAAUUCUUCAGAGGUCUCUCAACAUCACAAACAUGGCUCAUAUAGAGUAAAAGAUAAAGGAAAUUAGUCAUUUGCAGCAUGCCGUAUUGUUUUCUUCUUUCACCGCGAUCUAGUACCUAAACAGACAGUAGUGCAGUUCAGCCGUCUACAUCUGCUCCAAGGGAAUGAAAACUACCCAACAUCUUGAUAGGAAUGUCUUCUGCGGAUCCCAUUACUGUGAUGGAUUCAGCAGAGUAUAGAACGCCUCGUAUGCAGAGCAAAGCAUGACGUGAAUCACAUAGAAGGCUCUCGUAUAGCAGUGGCCAAAUUGAGUUCGGGCUCUAAUUCAUCUAAUUGGAUAAAGAAGCGGUCAACCAUGUCGUUGGUAACUUCCUCCAGCCGUGUUGGAUCCCACUUUGGAGCAAAGUCCUUGUCAACCAAUCUAGCCCGGACUCCCUCACAGAAGUCAUCAGACAUCCGUUUGGACACCCAAUUAACUGAUAUGCGAUAUUCACGAACUAAACACUGAUCAAGGGGUUGAAAUCUGCCUUCUCUUAUUGAUUUCAAAGCCACUUUCAAGCUCAAUGGAGAUGCCUCUUUUAUUUUAUUAAGAGCUGUAUUGCACCAUUCAUCAUGGGAUUCUGCUGCAUCUCUUUCCAGAGCUUCUAUAAUUUCCUCAACUGUAUCCUGGCUAAAGCAUUUAUCGAUUUUCUCAAACUUGUGUAGAACACUCCUCGUGUCUGGGUAAACAAUGUCACCGUACUGAGCUAUAGAAUUUUCAAUGACAAGCCGAUCAUCUGUGAUCAAUUUACCAAGGCGUUCUUCUAUCCAAGGAAGCCUUUCAUUGUGUGAAUAGUGGGUAGCAAGACCACAAGCAAUCAUUUCUACACCAUUAAGCUUUUCCCCUGUUAAAGCCAAAUACUCCCCUAAAUAGCCAGGAAG
rnacentral:misc_RNA from 1 species